UUGACUUUUUUGAUUUUGAAUAAAAACGAAUAUAAAAAAAAUCUGUUCUUAUCAGUUUAAUAUCUGAUACUUCCUCUACCCGAGGACUACUAUAUUAAUCUGAUUUUUGGAACAGGGAGACGGAAGAGGGGUUUGCUCCAUCCGCCCACGAUGACGACCAGCAUUGCAGUGACUCAGGAACGGUGCAUCAUCCCUU